GCCAGAUGUGUGGCCCACACCUGUAGUCCCAGCUAGUUGGGAGGCUGAGACAGGAGGAUUGCUUGAGUCCAGGAGUUCUGGGCUGUAGUGCACUAUGCUGAUCGGGUGUCUGCACUAAGUUUGGUAUCAAUAUAGUGAACUCCCAGGAGCAGGGGGCCACUAGGUUGCCUAAGGAGGGGCAAAUCAGCCUAGAUUGGAAAUAGAAGAGGUCAAAACUCCUAUGCUGAUCAGUAGUGGGAUCACACCUGUGAAGAGCCACUGCACUCCAGCCUAACAUAGUGAGACCCUGUCUCUU
rfam:Otolemur garnettii contig030421, whole genome shotgun sequence.